CGCAUCUGUGCAUGCAGCAUAUCAAUAAGCGGAGGAAAAGUACCUACGCUUAGGAUGUUGAAGAUAUGCGCGACACGACUCUAUACAUGACUCUGCGCAUAUCAAUAAGCGGAGGAAAAGAAACUAACAAGGAUUCCCUUAGUAACGGCGAGUGAAGCGGGAAGAGCUCAAAUUUGAAAUCUUCAAGGUUUUACCUUGACGAAUUGUAGUUUAAAGAAGUGUUUUCUGCUGAAGUUUUGGUAAAAGUUCUUUGGAAUAGGACAUCAUAGAGGGUGAGAAUCCCGUAUUUGACCAUUACUUUCAGCUUUGUGAUACACUUUCAAAGAGUCGGAUUGUUUGGGAAUGCAGUCCAAAAUGGGUGGUAAAUUUCAUCUAAAGCUAAAUAUUGGCGAGAGACCGAUAGCGAACAAGUACCGUGAGGGAAAGAUGAAAAGAACUUUGAAAAGAGAGUUGAACAGUACGUGAAAUUGUCAAAAGGGAAGCGUUUGACACCAGUGUUGUUUUCUCGAAAAUCAAUUAAAAAUGGCUCGAUUUUGUAUUGCUGAGACCUUAAAAGCUCACUGUACAUUUUUCGUGUCUUUUUUAAUGCACUUUUCGUUUAACAAGUCAACAUCAGUUUCUUUUGUUGUAAAAGGGUCAUUGGAAGGUGGCUUUCUUUUCGGAGAAAGUGUUUAUAGCCUUUGGCCUCUGCAAUCGGAGAGACUGAGGUCUGCAGCGUAGACUCUUCGGGGUUAGAUACAUUUGUGCUAAGUUAUAGCUUUUUAUAGACAACUUGUUGACUAUAAUUAGUCUUGUAGCUUACUCGCUUAUGCUAUUUUACCUACGCUUAGGAUGUUGAAGAUAUGCGCGACACG
rnacentral:rRNA from 1 species